UGGAUCCUCCCAGAACCAUCCUCCUUUCAGCUUCCCACCUAAUACUUGAUCUUAAGGCAAAUAUGAUAAUGUUUCAACUAAAGGAUUAUUAAGUGUUAAAAUCCUGUUAGAUUCUUAUAAGCUGGAGGAAGCAGAUAACUUCUGAAGACGUUGUGCAGACUCAUAAUGACCUGGAGUGCCAGUUCUCAGUCCUCUUCGGGCUUCAGAUUGGAAUAAUAAUUUUUAUGUAAAUCAUAAAACUUGCAGAAUCUGAGAACCACUUUUUCCCUAAUGAGGGAAAAUACUCGAAUGCAUUUGAGAAUGCUGAUCAUUCCCAAAAUGCAGUGGGAAUGGAAGCCCCACUGACUGACAACUUUGGAUAUCCAUGCUCUUGGAAGGGAUAGCUGAGCAACUGAAUUUUAAAAUGCUUUUCAGAGUCUUCAACCCAAUUUUUAGUUGAAAAAUU